GGCAAAGUUCUAAUUUUAAUUCAUUAGUCAAUCCCAUCUCUCUUUUGAUAGUUUUGAAUGACCAAGUCUAUAUUGGCAAACUCUUGAUGGUUUUGAACGACAAGUCUAUAUAUAACCCCCUGGCCAAACAAGAAACCCCGCAAAGCGUACGAGAAAUUCAAGAAACUUAAAAUGGAUUCUAUAGUUGAUGGAGAAAGAGACCAAAGCUUUGCAUAUGCUAAUCAAUUGGCGAUGGGUACAAUGCUACCCAUGGCCAUUCAAGGAAUUAAAAAAAGUAACCAAUUGUAUAAUAACGUAAUUCAAAACUUUCAAAUUUAAUGAUAAUACGAUAUCCUUAUAAUGAGUUAUGCUACCCAUGACCAUUCAAGCGGUGUAUGAGCUAGGCAUUUUCGAGAUACUAGACAAAGUUGGUCCUGGUGCAAAGCUCUGUGCUUCAGAUAUUGCAGCCCAAUUGCUCACCAAGAACAAAGACGCACCCAUGAUGCUGGAUCGGAUUCUCAGGCUUCUGGCUAGCUACAGCGCCCAUGUAUUGUAAUAUUAACUCCUACAACCAUUAAAAAAUUCCAAGGUGAUUAUUUAUUUAGAUCCCACUAAUUGACAUUUUCAAAUGCAAUGUGGCUACCUUAAUAUUAUACAUAAAUUCAGAUUUUGUUCAAGUUUUGUUUUAGUUCAUAUUUACUCAAAAUUAAUUGCCUUUAAAUUUACAUUAGAACUGUUAAAGUAGAUUUUUGUUGACUUUCUAUAUUAAUUUAGGGUAUCGUAAUUAGAUCUAAAAUCAAUCAAACUUAGAAGUUUGUUCUGAAAAAAUGUGUUAACGUUGUUUCUAAAUACACAAUUAUAGAAACAAUUCAUAAUUAUUUAUCGGUUUGAAAAUAACAAAAACAUUACAUUAAUGAUUAUUUUGCAUGACAGGAUUGGACCCUAAGUUCAAUAAACGUUUUAACACAGCAAUGUAUAACUAUACCUCCCUGGUUUUGAGCAACAUUCUUGAAUCUUACAAGGGCUUCGACAACAUCAUCUAUUCCUGGCUAUAAGCACAACAAAAAUUAAGCCAAUGUGACACUUGCAUGAGUUUAAAAUUAAAUUGAAUUGGUUAAAUUAAAUCCCAUUUUAUUUUGUUUUGUUUUUAGUGAUUUUUUUUGGUUCUUUCUAACAUAUGGUAUGUAUUCGUUUGAAAAAUUCAUUGCAAUUCUUAUUUCAAUAAUUGAAAAAUAUUUUUUUCAUCUCUUUUGAAAAAAACAUUUUAUAUUUUCGGUUUCUCUUGUUAUGAUUUGUAAUAAAACGUUUUGUUAAUUUUAGAAUAUUUUGUGAUAUUGAAUUCACUUUGUUGUUGUACAGCAGUAUAUAUAUAUAUAUAUAUAUAUGUUUCACUUUGUUAAAUUGAGAAUGCUACUAAUAAAUUAAAAAAAAACACAAUUUCUACUGUAUUGAAAUAUGUGUUUUUUUUAUAUUUUAGUAACAUUCUCAUUUUAAAAAAGUGAAGAUUUCCUUACUAGAGAAGGACUCUCUCUCUCUCUCUCUCACUACACAAAUUUUGUUAAAGUCCAAAAAAUCUAGUAAGUCAUAUGAUUUAAUAGUAUAAUGGACUAUUGAACCAUUUGAAAUUAUGAAUUUUUUCGGUUUUUAACAAAACCCAAAAUUUUGGAUUAGAUCAUUACUAUCUAUAUAUAUAUAUAUAAGGCUUCCUUACUUUAUUAAAAUAAAGGAUAAACUAAGGAUAAUACUUGGAAUGUUUGUUUUCUUUUUUCCUUUUUUUUAGAAGAUUCCUUAUUUUGGGGGCAAGUUUAAAAAAGAUACUUUUAGAAACAAAUUUCUUUCUAAUAGAGUUCAUCCAAGGAUUAAUAUUAAAGCUCACGUGUAAUUUUGUUAUUUUAAAAAACUAAUUAAUUCGCAUAGGUGCCAUAUUAUUAAAUUUAAUAGUAUAAGUAAAAUAUUUUUCUCUCACCUUUGUAUUACCCUUUAUUUCUCCCUCUAAAUUACCAGUGAACUAAGGUACACAUCCAUGUAGCCAUAAAAAAAGAUGUUAUCUACAUAAAUUUGUUUAUUAAACCAAAUGUAAAUAUUGGAAAAAAAAUGUUGGCAAUUGUUUCUACAUAUAUUUUUUUAAAGAUUAACAAAGCAUAGUCAUCUAAUCACGUUUCGAUUUACUGGAUAACUAAAGUAAACAUACAGAGAACUAGGGAAGUACUAUAUUUUAAUUUGUAGUAGUAACAUCCAUCCAACAGCCAUCGGAAUAAAAAAAAAUGUUUUAUAAUGAGUAGAGGGAGGAUUGAAGGAGAUGAGCACAUAAGUUAAAAAGAGAAAUAUAUGAAUGUCCUAAACAUGAUGUCAAGCAAAGGAAAUCUUUUAAGUGUUGUUGGACAUUCAAGAGGAAAUUAAGGACAAUGCUGAUUUAGAAUUCAGUUCAUCCGAAGAGCCUGCAACACGCAUACUCGUGUUAGCUAAGGCAGUUUUUAAUUUUAAGUUGCCUGUAAUUUGAUUGUAAGAUCUUCCUCCGAAAUGAAGUGUAAUUUCAAUCUUUGAAUGAAAUUACUUAGUUUAAAUAAAUUAAGAUGAUAAGAGAGAGGAAAGAGCAUCGUGUUUCACGUUUAUUGUUUGACAUAUGGACUUGCGUCUAGUUAAUUAAUUUUUCGAAUUAUAAAACUGCAUGCAGUUUUAAUAUUAACCAUGUGAUAAACUUUAACCUAAUUGUUAGAAAUUUAUAUGGGUCUCAUGUUGUGAAAAUUUUAAUAUAUUCGCAAGCGCACGAAUCUAGAAAUAGAAUAGUGGUAACGAAUCUUGUAAAACUCCAAAUUUAUAUUUAAAAAAAUGAGGACAUCUGUUGUGUGUGCCUGUAUAUCAAGAACUUCCAUAACAUUGGCAUAAUUAAGUUUGAGCAAACAGUUCUUGACGUAAUGAAUAACAAAGAGUCAAAGUUUCCUAAGCACUCCAUGUAAACAAUUUAAUUAAAAACAUAGAAUCAAAGAUAAUCAUGUAAAAAUUUUAUAAAUCCAAGCAUAGAUUUAAUCGAAUAUUAAUCUGGACAUAUUAUGAGGAGUUCCUUAAAUUAAAUUUUUACGAACAAUAGUUUGAUUAAUAUGAGAAUUUUUAUAUAGUGGAUACUGCACGAUUGGAAUGAUGAACAUUGCUUGAAAUCAGUAUAAAAAAAUUAGUUAGACAUACUUGAAUUGGGAGCAACAAAAGAAAUAAAAUCACUCAUGGAAGCCAAACUGCUGCUGCCCAGUCUUGCGUCUUGCGUUUGCAGCUCCCUUCUUGGCGGCUCAUCUUCCCUCUAAAAGCCAAGAGCUUAGCUUUCUUAUAUAGCCUUUAUUCUGGGUUAUGGAGUUCUAUAAGUAGAGUGCUUGGCCAUGCGUCCUAGAAAUAAAGCAAAUCUUGUGUUGAUUGUCUUGCGUGUAUCUCUUUCCAAGCAUGCUGAUAUGUCUCCCAAAGACGAGCAUACUCACGUGGGCACUUUGAAUUGUAAUAGGUUUACUUUUUCCAUUUAUGAAAGCCACGUGGGGUCCCUUCUUAAAGCUAAAAUCAAUUUCUCUCUUUUGUCCGCAUGUGCAUGAUGAAUUAACUUGUUGAAUUCGGUUCCUUGGCUUGAUUUCCACAUGCAUGUAUGUCUAAUUACUUCCAAAAAUCAAUUAAUCUUUAAUGCUUCCAAAAUUGAGCUCUUUUAUAUCCUUUUUAUCCAUAAUCUCAAAUUAAUUCCCUAUUCAAUAAAACAAUUCAAUUAAUUAAAAAUAAGAAAAAAAAUAACUAGCAAAUAUAUAAGAAAGGGUAAAAUAUGUAUAUAAAUUAUGCUCAUUAAAUACCCCCAAACUUAGAUUUUGCUAGUCCUCGAGCAAAACUAAAACUUAAAACAAAAAUAAAAACAAUGAAACAAAAAGUAAAUCCUAACUAAACUACUUUCGCAGGUAAUCGCGAUUGCAUUUAGUGUUUGCAACAAACUUUUAAACCCUUAGGCGACCCUAGUGGACGAGUUAUAGUCUCGUGAUGGCUUUCGUGACGAUACCCACAAACAUCAUUUUUUUAAAAUAAAUAAAUAAAAAGAACAACAAACUUUAAAUAAAACAUAAAAAUAACCUCAAAGAUUGCAUAAAUUAUAUAGCUCAAAGAAAAUUUCAAAUAUUGGCAAAGUUCUAACUUUAAUUCAUUAGUCAAUCCCAUCUCUUUUUUGAUAGUUUUGAAUGACCAAGUCUAUAUUGGCAAACUCUUGAUAGUUUUGAAUGACAAGUCUAUAUAUAACCCCUUGGCCAAACAAGAAACCCCGCAAAGCGUAGGAGAAAUUCAAGAAACUUAAAAUGGAUUCUAUAGUUGAUGGAGAAAGAGACCAAAGCUUUGCAUAUGCUAGUCAAUUGGUGAUGGGUACAGUGCUACCCAUGGCCAUUCAAGCGGUGUAUGAGCUAGGCAUUUUCGAGAUCCUAGACAAAGCUGGUCCUGGUACAAAGCUCUCUGCUUCAGAUAUUGCAGCCCAGUUGCUCAAUAUCAGGGCUUAUAACUCCAUGUUUGCUUUCACAUCUAUGGGAGGUUGAGUUGAUGCAUCAAUCAAUCGAUCAAAAGGUCCUUAUGUUUUCAGGAUGAGCGGUCAGAAUUAUCAUCACAUUGGUUCUUUGUUGCCAAAAGUUGGGAAAAAACCACAGUUUGCUCAGCUUUAUAUCUAUGAUACUGAAAAUGAGACAGACAACAGAAUCAACACUCUAUUAAAACAUGGAAUGAAGACAGAAAUUGAUCACGAAAUUCUUCAUGAACUAUCAAAUUCGUAGCUAAUAAAUAGAGUUGGGCGCUCUAUUUAUGUUUAGACUGUAGUAAAGGGAUAGAUACAAAACACAACCAGAAUCUACAUUCCGUUUACGACUCCUUAAUAGUAGAGCAAGAGAUGGCCGUCGAUAUAAUAUGCCAAUAGUUUCAUAAGUUACAGGCUUAAUAGUUGGUGAUUUCAGUGAAGCGAACUUUCAACGCGAUGUUAUUAUAGAGCAUCGUACAAAGGGACUUCGAAGAAUCACAGAUUUGCAUCCAAGUUUCAUGCCCAUGACAUACCCGUUAAUAUAUCCUUAUGGCGAAGAUGGAUAUAGACCUGACAUAUCUUUAAGAGACGUAACUGAUAGCCCUUUUAAGAGGCAAAAGCUAACAAUGAGGCAAUAUUAUUGCUUUAGGUUGCAACAAAGAUUGAAUGAGGGACACACUCUACUUCAAGCUGGUAGACUAUUCCAACAAUAUAUAGUUGAUUGUUACAUGGCAAUUGAAGAACUCUGCAGCGGUAACUUCAAAUCCUUAAAAAUUGCAUAGCACAUGCAUUUUUUAUUUUGUAGAAAUAAAAAAUUUUCUAAUAGACUUGUUUUUAGAUAUUCGCCAUGCUUAAUUAUUGUUGGAAACAAUAGCUUUUAAAUUCUAACUCUAAUUAGCUUAAUAAAUACUUACUGCUAUAAUCUAAAAACCAAAUUUGUUUUAUCUAUAUAAUAAAAAGUCAUAAUAACUUUCAAAAUUAUUACGUAUUCAUACCUGCUGUACGGCCAAGGCGGAUGUACGGUACAGCAGAAAAAUUUGUUUUGAUGCAAUGUUUUGAACAUCUUUUUCUAAAACAUGUUUUGCAGCUUUGCAAUCAAUUCUAAGUAGAAAUUUUUUAUUUAAUAAAUCACUUUGGAAUUUUGAAAUGCAUAAAACAAUCUGCUGUACGGCCAAGGCGGAUGUACGGUACAGCAGAAUUUUUAAAUUAAGUAAAAAACCAAAAAAAAGUUAGCUUAAUAACUUAAUGACUGAAAACUUUUGCUAAGUUGAAAAAGUAAACGAACUUAGUGACUUAAUUGAUUGAAAUUAAGUUAAUUAAGUCACUAAGUCAAAAAAGAAAUAGCCCUUGAGCUUUUGUUAAUUAAUUUUUUUAUGAUAGUCAUCUUGAAACAUAAUACACGUAUUUGUAGAUUAAACAAGGGGGAAGAAAAUGCUAGCUUUCCCAUGUAGGACUUUUGUCUCAAUAAAUGGUGAAGACAACGUUUACAAUAUUCUCUUUUGGAUUCACUAUUUUGUUACAUACCAGGCUUAAUAGUUGGUGAUUUCAGUGAAGCAAACUUUCAACGCGAUGUUAUUAUAGAGCAUCGUACAAAGGGACUUCGAAGAAUCACAGAUUUGCAUCCAAGUUUCAUGCCCAUGACAUACCCGUUAAUAUAUCCUUAUGGCGAAGAUGGAUAUAGACCUGACAUAUCUUUAAGAGACGUAACUGAUAGCCCUUUUAAGAGGCAAAAGCUGACAAUGAGGCAAUAUUAUUGCUUUAGGUUGCAACAAAGAUUGAUGAGGGACACACUCUACUUCAAGCUAGUAGACUAUUCCAACAAUAUAUAAUUGAUUGUUACAUGGCAAUUGAAGAAGAAAGAUUUCGUUGGAUCCAGAAUAAUCAACAAAAACUUAGAUCAAACCUUUUCUCUGGUUUGAUGGAUGCUGUUCAUCGAGGUGAUUUUGAUUGUUCGAAAGUUGGAAAAUUGAUUAUUCUACCUUCAUCACACACGGGGGGACCACGAUAUAGAAUACAAAAUUAUCAAGAUACUAUGGCAAUUUGUAAAUGGGCAGGAUAUCCUGAUUUAUUUUUUACUUUCACUUGCAACCCAAAGUGGCAAGAAAUAAAUAACAUGCUCCGAUUAGUUGGACAAAAGAAUGAUGACAAUCAAGUCGAUAUCAUAUGCAGAGUUUUCGAGAUAAAAUUAUUCCAACUAAUGCAAGAUCUGAAAAAGGAUCAACCGUUUGGAAAAAUAAUUGCAUGUAAGUUCACUUCAAAUUCAUAUCCAUAACAAAUUCAACUCAUUUGUUAUUGAAAAGUGCAGGGAAGAACAAUAAUUUCACAAUUGAAAUCAAUAUUUCUAACUUUUAAAUUUUACCCCAUGUUGUGGCAGGUCUAUAUACAAUUGAGUUUCAAAAAAGAGGCUUGCCCCAUGCACACAUACUACUUUUUUUGCAUCCAACAAUGAAAAAUCCUUCUGCAGACUAUAUUGAUAAAAUAAUAAGUGCAAAAAUCUCCGGGUUAGCUUAUUUAAUUGACUGCACCACUAGUAGAUUAAUAAGUAAGAUAACUAUAACUGUAAGGGACCUUGUGUUAUUUUACAAGACUUUUUUUGCAUCCAACAAUGAAAAAUCCUUCUGCAGACUAUAUUGAUAAAAUAAUAAGUGCAAAAAUCCCUGACUUAAAUGUUGAUUCUGAUGGUUAUAAUGCAGUUAACAAAUUUAUGAUUCAUGGACCGUGUGGAAAACACAAUUCUCACUCUCCAUGCAUGAUGCAAGACAAGUGCACAAAACAUUUUCCAAAAAAACGUGUGGUGACCGUACUGGAGUUGUUGCGCGUGUCGAGGGAUUUGCAAGGGAGGUUCGAGGAAGUCGAGGUGACGAUGCUGUUAUGCCACAACUGGGACGACGUCGUUUGCGAUCUCGCUUGCAUUGAGGAGUUGUAUAAACAUGCAGCCAUUAACAAGGGUUUCUUUUGCUCCGAGUACGGCAGAGGUCACAUUAAAUUAUAGAUAUAUAUCAGCAACCGAAGCUUGCUGGCGAAUCUUCCAAUUUGACAUACAUUACAGAAAGCCGGCAGUUGAAAGAUUACCAUUCCAUUUACUGGGAGAGCAUACAGUAAUAUUCAAAGAAUCCAAGUGCUUACAAAAUGUGCUUACCAUACCUGGAAUAGAAAAAACAAAGUUCACAGAAUGGUUGGAAGCAAACAAGAUAUAUGAUGAUGUACGAGAGUUAACUUAUUCUGAUUUCCCUACAUGUUGGGAGCAAGAAAAAUAAGAGCAAUUUUUUAUUAUUUUUUCUCAUGAAACAGGUUGCAAGUUCUAAUACAAAGACCAAACUACCAAAAUCAAGAACUUUUGGGGUUAUAUUUUUCUAUUAAGAGAACGUGACACAAACGGUACACAGAGAUGUUUCCCCUUUUUGAACUCAGAAGAAAUGUCACUCUAGUCCCAAUUGAAAUAAGGAAGCAAGAGAAGCAAGUUUUCAUUAGUAUGUGAUAUUUGUAACAAGAUGUCUUCGACAUUAUUGCUCCGAUUAGUGGUAAAUUUGUGUAAUUCUGCAUAAGCCUCUGAAAUAAUGAAGUUGAUCAAGAAAGAACUAAUUGGAGAAUUUAAUUAAAUUUGCGAACAAAUGUAGUCAUUCCAUUCACAUACAGAAAGUUUUUAAUACAAAGUCCAAGCAGAUGCAUUUUAAAGAUUGUAAUAAGAGAUGAUCAAGAUUCGGUGAUAGUACUAUUCCAUAGUGAUGUUUACAGAAACACUGGUUUUAUGAGAUAGAGACGUGGCUCUUGUCUUUAUCGAUUGUGCUUUGUCAAGCUAGAGGGUUUUGUUUCUAUCAACAAUGUGUUAAUAAUGUAAUUUCUGAAUAGAAGUCAAAAUACUUUAAAAAAAUUCUUCUUUGAUAAGAGAUUCAGGUAACCGAUUGGUCAAUGAAGAGCUUGAUUAUGAUCGUGAUCAAUUAAAGAAGUUGCAUGAGAAAUCGUUUGCUGCUCUAAAUGCUUGCCAAAAAUCAGCCUAUGAAGCAAUAAUGCAUUCUGUUGAGAAUGAAAAAGGGCAUUUAUUUUUUAUCAAUGGACACGGUGGUAUUGGUAAAACAUUUUUGUGGAAUACAAUUAUUGCAAAGCUCAUAUCACAUUCUAAAAUAGUCUUGCCUGUUGCAACUUCAGGUAUAACAACUUUGUUAUUGCCUAAUGGUAGGACAACUCAUUCGUGAUUUCAUAUUCCUUUAGAUGUGACAGAAGAGUCCACUUGUGAAAUCCGACAAGGCACCUUAUUAGCUGGACUUCUUAUGAAAACUUCUUUGAUCAUUUGGGAUGAAGCGCCUAUCGCACAUAAGUUAUGCUUUGAAGCUUUGGAUAGAACCUUGAGAGAUAUUCUAAGAACAAGGUAUGAAAAUAGUUCUAUCAAACCUUUUAGAGGACUUACAAUAGUAUGUGGUGGCGAUUUCUGACAAAUAUUGCCAGUUGUGCCAAAGGGGACAAGAGCAGACAUUGUUGAUGCUUCACUUAACUCAUCCUACUUAUGGCCAUUUUUUAAAAUUUAUGAGCUCAAACAAAAUAUGAGGCUCUAUAAUGGAAGCGUGAGUGGCUCUGAGGCUGCUAAAAUAGCUUCUUUUGACAAAUGGUUGUUGCAGAUUGGAGAUGGUUCAUUAUAUGAUGACAUUGAUAGAGAUUUAGUUAAACUACCUUCUGAUAUCUGUAAGAAACCAUCAGAAAAUCUGAUGAAAUCAAUAGUCGACACUAUUUACCCAUCAAUUCGGCAUAACUACAGUGAUCUAGCAUAUUUGAAAGAAAGAGCAAUAUUAACGCCAAAAAAUGAAAUGGUGCAUGAAUUGAAUGAGAUGAUUAUGAAUAUAAUACCUGGUCAAGGGAGAACCUUUUUAGCUCAGACAGUAUAUGCAAAGCAAGCGCAAACACAAAAAAAAAAGAACUAAUUGGAGAAGUUAAUUAAAUUUGCGAACAAAUGUAGUCAUUCCAUUCACAUACAGAAAGUUUUUAAUACGAAGUCCAAGCAGAUGCAUUUUAAAGAUUGUAAUUUUAAGGAAGGUGCUCCCGUAAUGCUUCUUAGAAAUCUAAAUCAAAUAGAAGGCAUAUGCAACGGCAAAAGAUUGAUUGUCACUUGUCUUGGUAAAUGGUCCAUUAGAGGUGACAUCAUUUCUAGAACAAAUAUUGGACAAAAUGUCACAAUCCCAAGAAUUAUUAUGUCUCCGAAUGAAUCAAGAUGACCAUUCAAGCUUAACAGACGACAACUUCUGUUCCAUAGUGAUGUUUACAAAAACACUGGUUUUAUGAGAUAGAGACGUGGCUCUUGUCUUUAUCGAUUGUGCUUUGUCAAGCUAGAGGGUUUUUUUCUAUCAACAAUGUGUUAAUAAUGUAAUUUCUGAAUAGAAGUCAAAAUACUUUUAAAAAAAAUUUUUUUUAGCCUUUUGUCUGCAUCUUUGAAAAUAAAUAAUACAAGGAGCAUUUAAUUACUUCUCUCUUGUCAUUAGCCAACAAUUAUUUGAAGAUCUCAAAUACAAGGCCGGCUGCUCAAACAAUGUCAACAAAAGCUUAUCUCCUUAUGCUCUCCACUACAAUUUUUCUUUUGUUCGUUCUUUUUCGUCUUUCACCUUUCUGUGUUUACAAAAUAGAUUAUGACGGAGGCUAUAUAUUGUGUGUUUCCGUAUUCAAGAAAAUUCCUCCAAUCUCUUACGGAAACACUGUUGAACUUUCAGAUUUCAUGGUCAAUUAUAUGUCGCCCUGUCUCGAGUUACCACAAGAGAAGGAUUGACCAUACUAAAUGCCGAUCAAGAGGUAGAAGACCGAACCUUCAUAAAAAACAUUGUCUACAAAGAAGUAUUUCAAAAUAUUCACACAUCAGCUCACAAAAUCAAGGUAUCAACAUGUGAUGGUGCUUUUUAUGCACCAUGGGCCCCCCAGAGCAAGAAACUUGCUCCAGAAUAUGAAGCCGCUCCCACUGAGCUCAAGGGCAAAUCUAACACGACCCGCCCCAAACUGCAUGUUAGAAUUGAGGUGAAUUGUGCGGACUAAUAAUUUAAACUUGUAGCACAAAUUUAAUUCAUGAAAAAUAUGUAUAAAAUAUGGCCUUUCCUAUAAACACAUAACCACCUCUGUGCCUUUUCUGAAACCAUAUAUGAAUUCAAAACUUACAUAGCUUAUGUCUCAUUGUACAUACUGACAUUUCAUGUAUAUUUACAUAUAAAACAUAAGCAACAUAUCAUAGCUGCAAGCUUGAUAUAAACAACUACUCACCUACGCAGCUACAAACGAUGCGAAAUAACUUACAAAAGUCUUUACAUGUAUUUUACUUAUUUCUUUUAUAAUUCAACGCUAAGGAUCCUCAAUUACAAAAUUUAAUUUGGAACUUAUCAACUACAAAAGGUAUAAGGUCUGUACACUUAGACUAUACACGUUAAUAUUUAUUUUUAAAGUUAACAAAAAAAUAGUUAACUUUCAUAAAUAACAUUAGUUUUAUAAGGCUGCCUUAUUUAAAAAAUAAUAAUUUAUAUUUUUUAUCAGUUUUAUCAAGUGUAAAGAAAGAAAAAUUGAUAAUACUAAAUUCAUUUUCUAAAGUCGCGCGAAGCGCGGUUUUAUUUCCUAGUAUAUAUAUAUAGUAAGGCCGACAUCCUCACUUUAUUAUGCACGAGUAGAGUAGGGGAAACACCUCUCAAUACCCGGCGCAAUUUAGCUACAUCGCUUUGAUAGAGUAACCUUCACUUCCAGUAGCGAUUUCUUUCACUUCUAGUGGCAAUUAUGUGAGUUAUAGUUUGGUUCCAGCAAAUUUAUUCACUUACGAUUUUGGCGGCUUAUGUACUUUCACAAUUUGUUUCAUUAAUUUAGAAUAAUUUUUUGAUCAAUAAAAAAUAAAAAUAAAAAACAUAAAUUUUAAUAUACUAAAAGAAAAAAAUAAACUUUUUAAUGUAUUAAAUCUAUAUUUUUAUAUUUUAGUGACAUUUUAAUUUUUAAUAAAGUGAAAAUGUUUUCGCUAGAAAAGAAGGAGACUCUCUCUCUCUCUCUCUAUAUAUAUAUAUAUAUAUAUUUUAGUGCGAAUGUUCUCAUAUUUUAAAUAAGAAUUUACUAUAUUGUAUUAAGAAAUUAUUGAUCUAAACUUAGAAUUAUUUUGAAGUUAAAGAGAAGGUUGGUGUGCCCACCAAUCAAGAACAUGAGUGGUUGCUCGUGUUGCCUAAAAUUUGGCCAUGUUAAGCUUGGGCAAGGUGGGUGGCUUCCCCCCAUCAUGCCGGAAGUCGCUCAAUCACUGCUUGCAAUUAAAGCUUGUUAGUACCCAUCACCAAUUGGCUGAUGGGUGAUCAGUUCCAGCUGGGUCUGGCUGAUUAGUAGAAUGAUAUGAAGCCAUGUUUAAUUAAUUUUCUUGAAUUUCUCCCAGCCAUGCAAAUGGGUGACGACAUGAUUUGGUUGGGCAAUACAUGUUGUCGCCUGCGUUCUAGGCGACAUGAACUAAAUCUGGGCAACAGAAUUGUGUUGCCAAGAUUUGGUUGGGCGAUAUAUCAUGUUGCCCAUGUAUCGGGCAACGAAGGGCAACAACAACUGAAUCAUGUCGUCGCCUAAGUUUUCCAAUUGUAUGGGGUGGCAAUUUAGACGAAAAUUUAUUUAUUCGAUUCAAUCCAACUGGAGUCAAAUUAAAUUAGAUUUGAGUUUGAAAAUAUUCAGUUUUUUUUCUUUCGAAACAUUUAUGCCAAUGUUAUCCUAAAGAUUUCUGACUAUUUCAGUUUUGUUUUUUUAAAACAUUUAUGCUAAUACUAUCAUAAUUUAUUGCGUAGAUAUGUCUAACAAGUAGAUGCAUCACUGGUCAUUGAAGAUACCAAUUGAGGAUUAUUUCACCGAUUGCGUUUCAAAUUUAAUGAGAUUUAAUUUUUUUCAUUAUGCGUAUACAGACCAAGUUAACUGAUACUCAAUUUAGGCUAUUCAAAAAGUCAAUUUUUGGUCAUUUUCUAGCGAUGGGGGCCCCAGGAUUUAGCGACAAUUUUGUACAUUAUUUGUUUCUCAGACUAGUCAUGAAACAAGUUGAUGAUGAGUACCAAAUGUGGUUUAGGAUUGGCAAUGAGAUGUUAUGUUUCUCUCUUCGAGAAUGGUGCUUGGUGACAUGAUUGAAAUGUGAUAAUGUGGAAAAUUUGCACGAAAAACACUUGGCAAAUACGUGAUCAGUAUUUCAAUGGAGCACAAUACUUUAAGUUUUUUCAUGCUAAAUAAUUGGUCUGGCCCACACAAAUACCCUUGUAAAUAGAACCAUCAACCAUGUCUGAAGCUACCCAAUCUGAUGGCACAAUUGGAGCUAUGCUUGGAGUUUCACUUAUUUUUUAUUUUUUUAAUUGUUGUAAAUUUGAAAUGAAUUAAUAAUUAACAAGUUGUUAUAAUUAACAAGUUGUUAUAAUUAACAAUGAAUUAAAAAAAUUAAAUAUUUUAAAAUAAAAUAAUAUAUGAAGAAAAUUAAGCAAAUAAAUGCUAAAGAUUUAAUUUUUUUAAUACUAUAUUUUCUAAUUUAAACAUCAUCUUAAUUAAUUACUGCUUUAGAGAGAGAUUAAUAUUAUAAUUUUAGGUUUUGUGAAUCAUUUUGUAUUGACAACAUUGUCAUCAAUAGGAUAAUUAUGGGAGCGGAAUGGGGAGUAGUGUUUAAAGGUGGAAGUUUGAAUUGAUGGCAUCAAAGAAAGUUCUAUCGGAACUUUAGGACUUGUUGUUACAUAAAUAGAAGUGCACUCAUAGUUAAUUGGAUCAGAGUUCAUACGCAUAAUCACUCUCACCAUUUCAUCGUUCACUAUGUCUAUAGGCAGUGAAUCAAUGGGUUGCGUCAGAUGAGUUGAUUUCACAUUUGUCUUUACCAAGAGGGAAUAUUCAUCUGAACUUUUCUUCAAAAUUUCAUACAACUUUGCAAUAAAUUGUUCAAAUGUUACAUCUUUUUGAAAACAAAAUGCAGUAACUUUUCCAUUCUCAUACUCUAUACGACCAUCCUUCAAAGUCUCCCACGCUCUAUCAAAAUACAUCAUAAGAACUAACAACUAUAUUAACCUGAUGCAAAAUAAUAAUAAUACUUUAUUAAAAGCACUGCAAACAAUAAUAUUACUAUAUUAAUUAAAUAACUAAUAUUUUUAAAUUUUAAUAUAUUGUUCUAAUUAUAAAUUUAUUUUGUAAAAAAAAAAUAGAGUGCUGGGCCUAGUCCGAGCAUUUUCUCUUAAGCUCUUAUCUAAUUCCUCGCAUAGAAAGAUUGGCCGAAAGCUUGCGGGCUUGGGCCAGAUGGGCUUUUUUAUCCACCCUGUUCUGCCCAGGCGAUAGAUAAUGUCACCCAAAUUACAAGCGAUUGUAUAUUCGGUGAUAUGAGUACUAAUUGCCCAAUAUGCAGUAUUAUGUCAUCUGGGUGAUGAAUACCGGAAUCCAAGCGACCGGUACGACAAGUCAUUCUAAGUUUGGGCGAGCAUCUCAGUCACAUGAUACAAAGAUAAAAAAAUUCUCACAAUCAACUCUCACAUUCCACAAAUGGGGAAAAUAAUGAUGGUGAUAAUAUUAUGAUCGAUGUUUUUCAGUGAUCUUAUUGUAAGAAGCUUUUUUCCCAAAAAAUCAUGCAUUUGAUUGAGAUCCCACUGCAUUUACAGCAUCUCGAGGCACUUCAUCUCACAUGUUUCUUUCAACUUUGGGCGACAGGUACUUGUCACUUGGAUUUUGGGUUUCGUCUUCAACAUUGUUUAAAACCCAUUUUUUUCGAAUUUUACUGGAAUUUUACUAAUUUAUAAAUUUAUGACCUCACAUUAACUAUUUAAUGUACCCACAUUGUAGUAAAAUGAGCAACCGAUCUUUUGUAUGAAACCCAACAAAAAAAUAAAAGAUAAAUAUUGAAGAAAUACUAACCCUAACUUCUUAUUAUUCUUUAGUUUGUUGCUUGAUUUUGUCUUCAAUACUUAGAUAAAUAUAAUAGUUUGAUGAAUGUGAGAUAGAUAAAAGGGAGGUUGAGUGAUAGUUGAUAAUGUGGGAGAGGUGAAAUGAUGACUGUUUUGGUGGUGUGUGGAGAUGUUCGACUGUUGCUUGGGAGUUGGGGGUUUGUUUGCUUAGUUUUAGGGGAAUAUUAUAUUUCUCUAAGAACAUGAGGCAGACAUUGGAGUGAUGGAAGAUGAUCCAAUCAAUUUCUGUCAGGCCAUGAAAAGUUUUAACUCUCAGAAGUGGAUUGAUGCCAUGAAUGAGGAGAUAAAAUCCAUGAAAGACAAUGACGUAUCGGAUCUUGUCCCAUUGGCAGAAGGUGCGAAACCUAUUGGUUGCAAAUAGAUAUUUAAGACCAAGAGGGAUUCGAAAGGUAAUGUAGAGAGAUGCAAGGUGCGUCUUGUCGCAAACGAUUUUACGCAGAAAGAAGGCAUUGACUAUAAAGUAACUUUCUCUCUGGUUUCUUUGAAAGACUCUUUCAGGAUUAAAAUGGCAUUAGUGGUGUAUUUCGAUCUUGAGUUACUUUUACAAAGCAUAAUUAUAAGGUUACACAUAUAGCACAAGUGGGAGAUUAUUGAAUUUUUAAUCCAAUAUUGUUGGAUCCUUAAUCCAAUAUUGGGCCUAUAUGUGAAUAAUUAUGUGUUACAGACUUUAAUAUAUCUAAUAGGAUAUGGGCAUUUAAUAUGUAAAGACAAUAGAAAAAAGUUGUCUAGAUAAGUGGUUAUGGUUCUCAUGUCACACAUAUUUUUAUAUUCUUUCUGAAAUCCGAUCGUCAGAAAGAUAGCCUUGAGAAAACUUAAAGGAUUCUCUAGGAGAACGUGUAGAUUUGGAAGGCCAACCACACAAUCCUAGAGAGCAAUUCAAUGUUAUAGAUUCAGGUACACUUCCGCAUAAUUUUGUUAUUGAUUUUUUGUGAUAUAACAUGAAUAUCAUCUGUAAGGACAACUGUUGCUAGCACUCCUUAAAAUUUUAUAUAAAAAUAAGUUUUUAAUUAAUGUUUCGACAUGUGUUUCUAAUCGGGCCCUGCAAAUAAAGUAUUACUCUUUUUUUAGAACCUUACUUGUUACCUUCCUUAACAUGUUUUCUUCUGCCCAGUGGCCACUGUGCCAUACAAUUUCAGUGGAGCGCACACAGACUGACGAAAAAGUUUGAAAACUUGGUGUUUUGGUGUUGACGGCAAAGCUUGGUCUUUUGGACGUGGCCAGGAAAGGAAGCUCCGUUGGGAACUUGGAGGUGACGAUGGGUAGAGUCUAGUGCUUUGAGAGAGGCCGUGAGUUUAGACCUAGGGUCUUAUUUUUUAUUAUUUAUUAUUUGGUUAAAUUAAAAUAAAAUGAGUUAAAAAAAUAUUUUGAGUUCGAGUUUGGAGGCCUGAUAAAAUUAUCAUUUAUGUGUUCUAUUUACAAAUAAUAAUAAUAGUAUUGGCUAACAAAUAUACUUAUUAACAAUGUUAGUAAUAGAUGUUAAGAGUUAUAGUAUCAUCAAUCAUAAUGCUAGUAGUAAAACAAUAUCAUCAAGUAUUAAAGUUACAUGUAAUCAUGUAUAAGCUUCGAUAACAACUCAAAGAAAUUUUUGUGAUUUCAAAUUAGUGAGUAAAUGAAACGAUAAAAAGUAAUUUAAUUAAUUUGAUAGAAAUUUGUAUGAAAUAUUUUUAAUUAGAUAUUGUUAUCUUAUAGUUGUCCAUAUCAAGAAUUAAAUCGUAUUAUUAAUUAUAUGAGUCAUUAGUACAAAUAAUAUUAAAAACAGCAAUAUUUUAUGGACAAUAUGAUACUCGUCCCGCAAAUAAAGUUUUACUUUUUUUUUUAAACCCUACCUACCUAUAACCUACCUCUAACUAGGCCAACAUUUUUUCUUCAAUUAAUUUUAUAUUGAACGUGAAAAAUAUUGAGGACCAUGCACACAUUCAAAAAAAUUAUUGGGAUUCGAAUCAAGUCUCUAAAACCACUAAGUAACAUUUUUUCAUUUAACUCAUUCAGAAGGUGCUCAGGGCACACUUAAAAAAAAAAUGGUUCAGAGGGCUAAAACCCCUCUUAUGCUUUAAAAAUUAGAAAACUACAAAGGUUAUAAAGUUGCCUUUGAUAAAUCAAGUUGUGUUAUUGAGAAUGCAUGUGAUGGGAAUAUUUUGUUUAUGGGAAAUAGAUGUGGCAAUGUUUACACGAUUAAUAUAGAGUGUGCAUCUACUCAUGAUAAAUGUUUUUCGGCAUUGCAUGAUGAUGGUUGGUUGUGGCAUAGAAGACUAGGACAUGCAAGCAUGGAUUUAAUUUCAAAAAUUUUGAAAAAUGAUUUAGUUAAAGGUCUUCCAAAAAUUUGUUUUCAAAAGGAUAGAAUUUGUGAAGCAUGUCAAUUUAGAAAACAAAUCAAAACCUCUUUAAUGCUUCCAAAAUUGAGCUCUUUUAUAUCCUUUUUAUCCAUAAUCUCAAAUUAAUUCCCUAUUCAAUAAAAUAAUUCAAUUAAUUAAAAAUAAGAAAUAAAAUAACUAGCAAAUAUAUAAGAAAGGGUAAAAUAUGUAUAUAAAUUAUGCUCAUUAAAUACCCCCAAACUUAGAUUUUGCUAGUCCUCGAGCAAAACUAAAACUUAAAACAAAAAUAAAAACAAUGAAACAAAAAGUAAAUCCUAACUAAACUACUUUCGCAGGUAAUCGCGAAUGCAUUUAGUGUAUGCAACAAGCCUUUAAACCCCUAGACGGCCCUAGUGGACGAGUUAUAGUCUCGUGAUGGCUUUAGUGACGAUACCCACAAACAUCAUUUUUUUUAAAAAAUAAAUAAAUAAAAAUAACAACAAACUUUAAAUAAAACAUAAAAAUAGCCUCAAAGAUUGCAUAAAUUAUAUAGCUCAAAGAAAAUUUUAAAUACUGGCAAAGUUCUAAUUUUAAUUCAUUAGUCAAUCCCAUCUCUCUUUUGAUAGUUUUGAAUGACCAAGUCUAUAUUGGCAAACUCUUGAUAGUUUUGAAUGACAAGUCUAUAUAUAACCCCCUGGCCAAACAAGAAACCCCGCAAAGCGUACAAGAAAUUCAAGAAAUUUAAAAUGGAUUCUAUAUUUUCGCUAGAAAAGAAGGAGACUCUCUCUCUCUCGCGAAUGUUCUCAUAUUUUAAAUAAGAAUUUACUAUAUUGUAUAAUAAAUUCAUAUUUUAAAAAAUACGAAUAUCUGUACGUGAUAUAUAUAUAUAUAAUCAAUUGGCGAUGGGUACAAUGCUACCCAUGGCCAUUCAAACGGUGUAUGAGCUAGGCAUUUUCGAGAUCCUAGACAAAGUUGGUCCUGGUGCAAAGCUAGUACUCAUCACCAAUUGGCUGAUGGGUGAUCAGUACAUUGGAUCCAACUGGGUCUGGCUGAUUAGUAGAAUGAUAUGAAGCCAUGUUUAAUUAAUUUUCCUGAAUUUCUUAUGUGUUUAACAGCGUCAGCCGAUAGCAAAUGACCCCUAAUACAAAUAGUUCAGGACAAGGUCUUUCUGAAGAGCUGGUAAUUAAUUAAUUUCUAUUUCUCCCUUUUUCUCAGUAAAUGAUCAGCUAGACCAUGCAUGCAUGCAUGGAGCAUAUAUAUAGACGAUGCAUGAUAAAUUGGUUUUUCGGAAUUUAUUUAGGUCCCAACUCAAAGAUGCUAUUCUUGAAGGAGGAAUUCCCGGGCUGGCAAUUUGGACGAAAAUUUAUUUAUUCGAUUCGAUUCAACUGGAGUCAAAUUAAAUUAGAUUUGAGUUUGAAAAUAUUAAUUCAUUUAAUAAAUAAAUGAAUUUGAUUCAAUUUACUAAAUAAACGAAUCGAAUUCAAAUUUGUGAUCACUGGUUUAUUCUUGAAUCUUACAAGGGUUUCGACAACAUCAAGCAACUGGUCGAUGUUGGUGGUAGUCUCGGCAUUACUCUUCAAGCCAUCACUACCAAGUACCCCUAUAUUAAGGGCAUCAAUUUCGACCAGCCUCAUGUUAUUGACCAUGCCCCACCACAUCCACGUAUGAUUAUUAAUCUCAUGUUAUAUAUACGAGUACUUGUCGGGACAUUACACUAUUAUACCAUAUGCGGUAACAAUUUUCUUGCACUUUAUUAAAGUGCAACAACUCUCAUAAAUAUAUAUAUAGUCAUUCGCUAGGGUGGGCACCCUCAUUUUUUUUUUAAUGCAAACACUUUGUUGUACCGUGCGAUUUAAUAGAAUUAAUGAAGAACACCGUUAAAUCGUACGGUUUAAUAGUGUGUCCUCAUUUAUAAAAAAAAAUAAGGGCACCCACCUUAGAGAAGGACUAUAUAUAUGUGUGUGUGUGUGUGUGUGUGUGUGUGUUUUACUUUGUUAAAUUGAGAGUGCUACUAAUAAAUUAAAAAAAAAACACAAUUUCUAAUGUAUUGAAAUAUGUGUUUUUUUUUUAUAUUUUAGUAACAUUCUCAUUUUAAAAAAGUGAAGAUUUCAUUACUAGAGAAGGACUCUCUCUCUCUCUCACUACACAAAUUUUGUUAAAGUCCGAAAAAUCUAGUAAGUCAUAUGAUUUAAUAGUAUAAUGGACUAUUGAACCAUUUGAAAUUAUGAUUUUUUUUGGUUUUUAACAAAACCCAAAAUUUUGGAUUAGAUCAUUACUAUAUAUAUAUAUAUAUAUAAGGCUUCCUUACUUUAUUAAAAUAAAGGAUAAACUAAGGAUAAUACUUGGAAUGUUUGUUUUCUUUUUUCCUUUUUUUUAGAAGAUUCCUUAUUUUGGGGGCAAGUUUAAAAAAGAUACUUUUAGAAACAAAUUUCUUUCUAAUAGAGUUCAUCCAAGGAUUAAUAUUAAAGCUCACGUGUAAUUUUGUUAUUUUAAAAAACUAAUUAAUUCGCAUAGGUGCCAUAUUAUUAAAUUUAAUAGUAUAAGUAAAAUAUUUUUCUCUCACCUUUGUAUUACCCUUUAUUUCUCCCUCUAAAUUACCAGUGAACUAAGGUACACAUCCAUGUAGCCAUAAAAAAAGAUGUUAUCUACAUAAAUUUGUUUAUUAAACCAAAUGUAAAUAUUGGAAAAAAAAUGUUGGCAAUUGUUUCUACAUAUAUUUUUUUAAAGAUUAACAAAGCAUAGUCAUCUAAUCACGUUUCGAUUUACUGGAUAACUAAAGUAAACAUACAGAGAACUAGGGAAGUACUAUAUUUUAAUUUGUAGUAGUAACAUCCAUCCAACAGCCAUCAGAAUAAAAAAAAAUGUUUUAUAAUGAGUAGAGGGCGGAUUGAAGGAGAUGAGCACAUAAGUUAAAAAGAGAAAUAUAUGAAUGUCCUAAACAUGAUGUCAAGCAAAGGAAGUCUUUUAAGUGUUGUUGGACAUUCAAGAGGAAAUUAAGGACAAUGCUGAUUUAGAAUUCAGUUCAUCCGAAGAGCCUGCAACACGCAUACUCGUGUUAGCUAAGGCAGCUUUUAAUUUUAAGUUGCCUGUAAUUUGAUUGGAAGAUCUUCCUCCGAAAUGAAGUGUAAUUUCAAUCUUUGAAUGAAAUUACUUAGUUUAAAUAAAUUAAGAUGAUAAGAGAGAGGAAAGAGCGUUGUGUUUCACGUUUAUUGUUUGAUGUAGGGACUGGCGUGUAGUUAAUUAAUUUUUAGAAUUAUAAAACUGCAUGCAGUUUUAAUAUUAACCAUGUGAUAAACUUUAACCUAAUUGUUAGAAAUUUAUAUGUAAAAUUGUAUUAAAAAAAAUCCCUUGAACCUGCUCUCAUAUAUGUGUGUGUAUAAUUCUUCUGUUGUGUGUGCCAGUAUAUCAGGAACUUCCAUAACAUUGGCAUAAUUAAGUUUGAGCAAACAGUUCUUGACGUAAUACAUCUUGCUAAUGAAAAUAGAGUGGCAUAAUUCUAAUUGUCUGAUUUCUUAAUUGUAUAAUAUUUUAUAGGUAUUGAGCAUGUAGGGGGUGAUAUGUUCCAAAGUGUUCCAAAAGGUGAUGCCAUUAUUAUGAAGGUAAGUUUUUAAUUUAAUUUGCGGACAUAUUAUGAGGAGUUCCUUAAAUUAAAUUUUUACAAACAAUAGUUUGAUUAAUAUGAGAAUUUAUAUAGUGGAUACUGCACGAUUGGAAUGAUGAACAUUGCUUGAAGUUGUUGAAGAAUUGCUACAAAAGCAUCCCAGAAGAUGGAAAGGUAAUCGUUGUGGAGUCAAUGCUUCCAGAAGUUCCUAAUACAAGCAUUGAAUCAAAAUCAAAUUCCCAUUUUGACGUGCUUAUGAUGAUUCAAAGUCCCGGUGGAAAGGAGAGAACAAGGCAUGAAUUCAUGACCCUGGCUACUGGCGCUGGUUUUGGUGGGAUCAGUUGUGAACUUGCUAUUGGUAAUCUCUGGGUUAUGGAGUUCUAUAAGUAGAGUGCAUGCCCAUGCAUCCUAGAAAUAAAGCAAAUCUUGUGUUGAUUGUCUUGCGUGUAUCCUGCUGUACCGUACAUCCGCCUUGGCCGUACAGCAGAUCAUAUCUCUGCGAUAUAUAUCCUGAUGGCUAUUUUCUUCAUCAGCUUUUUUGGCAAUAGAUCCUUAUUGUAUAAGUUUGCCCACUCUUUGUAUUUCUUAUGCGUUUGGGCUCAUUUUGGGUUGGGCUUGCAUCCGAAUGUGGAUAGUGGUUUUGACUCUUGAAAAUGGAAUAACAUGCUCAACCAAUUCCUAUGCCCCACAGCAAAUACUAAUAAAAAGUAUGACGUGCCCUUGCGGGAAUGACUACAUCUCAAAGAUAUGGUUGAUUGAGUUAGCUUUAUCCGUGAGUCUUCUUGUUUUAAUUUGAAUCAUAUGUUCAUAUAUGAUAGUCACAGAUAAUAAGAGAUUCUACAGUACGUAUGUGUUUGGUACUUAUUGGACAAUACAAUGCACAGCUAGAUUAAUUUGGAAACCAAUUUGGUGGGGGGAAAGCAGAAAAUAUCCAAUUCUACCAAUUCGCUGGUUGGUACUGAUCGACUAUGCCAACGACCUCCUUUAUCCCCCAACCUCCUUAUUUAUUUUCAAGGACAUCUCUAUUCACUGAUUCACUCAUACAUGACCGAGCAGCUCGCUACAUGAUGGGUUCCAAAAAAAAUUCUGUUAGACUUGUUUUAGGUAUUAGCCCUACUUAAUUAUUUUUGGAAAGUAUAGCUUUUAAAUUCCAACACGAAUGUGCUUAAUAAAUACUUACUGCUAUAAUCUAAAAAUUAAGUUUAUUUUAUUUAUACAAUAAAAAGUCAUAAUAACUUUUAAAAUUAUUACAUAUUACCAUACUUUCUCAUUUUUUUUAAUCACAACACCUCAGUACCAAAUAUAGUGAUAAUUUAUAUUUAAUAAUUGAAUAUUGACUUAUUUUUUUGUCAUAGAUGUCUCACCAUAACUUUAUCAUAUUUCUAGUAUGUUACUGAUACUAAAUAAACUCCUUACACAUGUUUAGCUUUUCUAAUUGCACUACUAGAAAAAUGGGCUACCAUGACAGAGAAUAUCUGUCAUCCGACCCUGUUUAUGACAGAGUUUCUAUCUGUCAUUGUAGCCCCUCUCACAAACUUGUGACAGUAAUUUAUCUAUCAUAGGUAUAUGUGACAGCUUAUAUCUAUCACAAAUGUGUCACAACAAAAGCAACGUCAUUUUAAUAUUUUAGUGGUAAAUUUUUUUUAUUGUGAAAAAUCUUUUGGCGGGUAUUAUUAAUUCAAUUUUAAAUUAUGGCUCGUAAUUAUGUGUCACAACUUUAUGAUUCUAAUAUGGUGUCACGAUGUGAUUUUUUUUAAAAUAAUAAUAUUAUUAAAAGAAUUUUUUUUAAAUUAUAAAUUUGUAAUAUUUUAAAUAAUAUUAAUAUUUUUAAUAAUAAUAAUAAUAUUAUUAUUUUAUAAUUUUAUAAAUUCCAUUGAAAUUUAAAAAUUACAAUAUGUAUAAAAUCAAUACAUCCAAAUUAUCUCAACAAUAUUAUCAAAACAUCACUAAAUCAUCACUUGAAAUAACCAUAACAUUGUCAAAACAUCAUCUAUUCAAUUAUCACAAAUCUACAUCCCAACACUACCAUCUGGAUCAUUACCAGCAUACAAAAACAUCACAACACUAUAUAUCAUCUGAAACACUACCAGGCUGAUCAAGAUUCACUACUAUACUUAAGACUUUAUCAAACAAUAUAGCAUACAAAUUUCACUACCACUUAGACUUUAUCAAGAUUCACUAUCAUUUGGAACAAUACCAGCAUACAAAAUUCACUGCCACUUAGACUUUAUCAAACAAUAUCAUCAUCAACUCCACUGCUCAUACUAUCAGCUCAGACACAAAGGAAGCAUACUCGAGACGCACUUCAUCAAGCUCACUUUGAGUGUAUUCACAUUUCCCUUUAAACUGUCAAAUGAUGAUCACAUGUCAAACUAAAGUAAUUCGUUUAUUCAUUUUGCAGCCCCUAAUAUUAAUAAUUUGAAGUUGACAAUCCUACCUAAUAUGAACAUAGGGAUGACAAAAUGUGGGCUUAGGUCAAGCUUUUCUGAGCCCAAGCCCAUUUUAGUAGAAGCAUGAGGACAAGGCUUGGACUUUCACUUUUUUUUUUUAAUUGUUGUAAAUUUGAAAUGAAUUAAUAAUUAACAAGUUGUUAUAAUUAACAAUGAGUUAAAGAAAUUAAAUAUUUUAAAAUAAAAUAAUAAAUGAAGAAAAUUAAGCAAAUAAAUGCUAAAGAUUUAAUUUUUUUAAUACUGCAUUUUCUAAUUUAAACAUCAUUUUAAUUAAUUACUGCUUAAGAGAGAGAUUAAUAUUAUAAUUUUAGGUUUUGUGAAUCAUUAUUGAUUUAUGAAUUAAGAAUUUAAGUUUUUUUUUUUUAAAUUUUAAUAUAUUGUUCUAAUUUAUAAAUUUAUUUUGUAAAAAAAAAAAUAGAGUGCUGGGCCUAGUCCGAGCAUUUUCUCUUAAGCUCUUAUCUAAUUCCUCGCGUAGAAAGAUGGGCCGAAAGCUUACGGACUUGGGCUAGAUGGGCUUUUUUAUCCACCCUAUUCGCACAUGGUUUUCAUGCAUGUUAAUUUGCCUACAACUACUAAUUCAGUAAAGUUGUAGUGUUACUUGGGCUAGAUGGGCUUUUUUAUCCACCUUGUUCGCACAUGGUUUUCAUGCAUGUUAAUUUGCCUACAACUACUAAUUCAGUAAAGUUGUAGUGUUAAAUCAUCUCCUCAAUAGCAAUUUAAGUGUUGGUGUGGGCACCUAUUCACGCAAUAGCCGACCAGAUUUCUUCAUCAACAGUUUGUAUUUUCUAAUCUUUGAGUUGUAUUUGAAAGAUGGUUAAAGUUGUUCCAGCAUCUUAGUCACAUGAUACAAAGAUAAAAAAAAUUCUCAUAAUCAACUCUCACAUUCCAAAAAUGGGGAAAAUAAUGAUGGUGAUAAUAUUAUGAUCGAUGUUUUUCAGUGAUCUUAUUGUAAGAAGCUUUUUUCCCAAAAAAUCAUGCAUUUGAUUGAGAUCCCACUGCAUUUACAGCAUCUCGAGGCACUUCAUCUCACAUGUUUCUUUCAACAUCAGUGCAUGUUUAGAACUAAAAUUAUGUUGGUUCAUCUUUGGAACUUGUAAGCACUCCUAAGUUGACAUAAACUCUACAUCGACAACUACUUGGCAUCAAGAAUAAAUUCUUGAUUGCGAGGAUGAGUAGUGGUCACAAAUUAACUAACAUUUGGAUAGUUGGGAAAGAAUACAUCUUAUCGAAGGAUUGAGUGAAAGUUGUGUUUGUCUUUAUCCAUGCACAAUUAUUUAUCUUGAUUUGAUGUAUGAGACAAAGCAACCCGUUUUAAAAAUGCAACUCCUUUUAUUUGUGACUAUGUUAUAGUUUGUGCAAACUUUUGUAUUAAUUAUCUCUAUUAUGUCUUUUUUUUAAACAAAGCCUAUAUGUUUUAAUUAUUUAUUUAUGUUAGGAUAUUUUUUAAGUUAUCUAUUUUAUUCACUUGGAUUUUUAUUUCAAAAGAUAUAUCAUUGAAAAGUUUAUUAAAAUAUUUUUGACAAAAAGAAUUUUUGACAAAGUUAUCAAAAAGUAAAUAUUUAUUUUCUAAAAAUAUAAUUUUUAUGAUAACCAAAAAAAUAUAGUACAAUGCAAUGCAAUACCAAACAUAGUAUAAUUAAAAAUUAAUAUAGUACAAUAUAACACUAAAUGCUGCACAAUAUUAAUAAAAUAAAGUGUUAAUGCAAUACAAUAUAAUGCAAUAUGCUUGUAUUAAAAUAAUGCAAAACAUAUAAUAUAAUAACAAUGUACCAAAUGCACCUAUAGUACAUAAUCACACAUGGGUUCUCUUCGGUGGCUGGACCAAACACUUAAAUUUGAGAGGGAUUGGUAAUGACUGUCUCAGUCAUCUGUAAGGACAACUGUUGCUAGCACUCUUCAAAAUUUUAUAUAAAAAUACUUUUUUAAUUAAUGUUUCGGCAUGUGUUUCUAAUCGGGCCCUGCAAAUAAAGUAUUACUCUUUUUUAGAACCUUACUUGUUACCUAUGUCUAACUAGGUCAACAUUUUCUUUUCGAUUAGUUUUUAUAUUGAACGUGAAAAAAAAAAUUAAGGACCAAGACACUAGUCACGAUAGGCGAUUGUCGCUAACACUCCUCAAAUUUUUAUACAAAAAAUACUCUUUUUAGUAUUUCAAAUCCAUGUUUUCUAAUCGGAUCUUGCAAAUAAAGUAUUACUUGUUUCUUGAAAUCGUACCUAUUUGUUACCUACUUCUAACUAAGCCAACAUUUUCUCUUAAAUUAGUUUUCAAUAAUAUUUCGGACCCAUGUUUUUUAAUUGCGUCCCGCAAAUAAAGUUUUACUUUUUUUCUUAAAACCCUACCUACCUAUAACCUAUCUCUAACUAGGCCAACAUUUUUUCUUCAAUUAAUUUAUAUUGAACGUGAAAAAUAUUGAGGACCAUGCACACAUUCAAAAAAAUUAUUGGGAUUCGAAUCAAGUCUCUAAAACCACUAAGUAACAUGUGUACCAUUGGGCUACAAGUGUUUUAUUAUUUAAAAAAUAUUUCUAAAUGCUUUUCAUUUAACUCAUUCAGAAGGUGCUCGGGGCACACUUAAAAAAAAAUGGUUCAGAGGGCUAAAGCCCCUUUUAUGGCAUCUUCUGUCCUUUUCGCGUUGCAGGCUUAACUUUUUGAAAUUAACAACCAGUAAACAUGUUGUCAAAAAUUUUAAUAUACUCGCAAGCGCAUAAAUUUAGAGAUAGAAUAGUGGUAAUGAGGUUGAUCAUACAUGGAUUGUUAUAAAUUAAAAAGUCUAAUUUAAAUUUAAAAUUAAUAUUAAUUCUAACCUAAUUGAGCAAAUUGAAUUUUUAAGAGAAAUUAAACUAAUUAAACUAAAAAAACAAUUAAAGUAAAUGAGAAAUCAAUAAGACAAAAGUUACUAAGAUUUCAUAAUCCACCACUAUUCAACUAAUAAUUAUCUAAUUAUUAAUUAAUCUCCAAUUUUAGAGUGAUAACUCGAAAUCAAUCUAUGUCAUCUCAUGGAUAUAACAAUUAAACCCAAGUAAUUAAAUCUAAUGUAGGUGCUUUUUCUGCUUAAUAGUAUGACAUCUAAGCAUCCCAUGUAAACAUAUUGAAUAACAAAGAGUCAAAGUUUUCCUAAACACUCUAUGUAAACAAUUUAAAGAAAGAUAUAGAAUAAAAAAUAGGGAAAUUAUCACCGGUAUACCCUUAAAUGUCACCGGUAUCAAACGUACUACAAUACUUUUCACUUAUAUCACUCGUAUACCCUAAGUUGACAAAAGAGUUCUGGCGUCCACCUUUCCGUUUACUACCGUUAAGAACUUAAUAGAAUUUGAGCAAAAUGACUAUUUUACCCUUUAAACUCAAAAUGAGGUAAAAAAAUAAAUUUACCUUGAAAAUUAAUGUAAAUUUUCAAUACACAAUUUUUUUUAUUUUGUCAUUAACAAUACAUUUUUUAUUAAAAAAAUAUAAAUUAUUAAUGGUACAUAUUAUUAACAAUUAUCCAUAAAAAAUAUUCAUCUUAUACCAUAAAAAAUUAUUAACAACAUAUUAUUUAUAAUUAUACAUAUUAUACCAUAAAAAACUCAAGUUGGAGCUUGGAGGAGUAGAUCUUCAAUAAUUUUGGUUAAAUUUUGGAAGAGUAAAUUCAGUUGUAAAGUAGCUUUUUUUUUUUUUACAAUUAUUAACAAUUAUCCGAUAAAUGGGAUGACAUGUCAUUUUUAUCAAAAUAUAUCAUAUGACAUGUCAUUUUUUACUAGGUAAAUGGGAUGACAUGUCGUUUUUAAAAAAGACUAGAUCACCCUUAUGAUGUCAGCGCUCGCAAACGGCAGUUAACGGAUCGGUGGACGGCAGAAGUGUUUUGUCAACUUAGGGUAUACGAGUGAUACAUUUAAAAAUGUUAUAACACGUUUGAUACUGAUGUCAUUUAAGGGUAUAUGACUGAUAAUUUCCCUAAAAAAUAAUCAUGUAUAAACUUUAUAGAUCCAAGCAUAGAUUUAAUCAAAUAUUAAUCUUAACAAUUAAUAAUGCAUGACAGAAUUGAUGAAAAGAUUUUAAUAACAUCAAAUUAAUCAUGUGAAAUAAAAACCAUAAUCAUUAAAGCAUACAUGUAGGGAAUUAAUUAAAUAAAAAGAUAAUUAUUUUAUUGAAUAAGAUUUCAUCCUUAACCUCAGUAUAAAAAAAUUAGUUAGAUAUACUUAAAUUGAGAGCAACAAAAAAAUAUAAAAUCAUCCAUUGAAGCCGAACUGCUGCAGCUGAUUUUCUCCCGAAUCGCGUCUGUUCUUUUUUUCCUUCCUCUGGCGGCUACUUUUCAUUCAAAAGCCAAAGGCUUGUUUAUAUAGUCUUUAAAAUGGGCCCCACCUUAUCAAUUCUAAAGCAUAUUUGUUUUGCUUCACUCACGUGCUGGGCACUUAGAAUUGCAAUAGGAUUCUUUUUUCAUUUAUGAAAGCCAAUUGCGGGUCUUUUUUAAAGCUAAAAUCAAAUUCUCUCUUUUGUCCGCAUGUGCAUGAUGAAUUAACUUGUUGAAUUCGGUUCCUUGGCUUGAUUUCCACAUGCAUGUAUGUCUAAUUACUUCCAAAAAUCAAUUAAUCUUUAAUGCUUCCAAAAUUGAGCUCUUUUAUAUCCUUUUUAUCCAUAAUCUCAAAUUAAUUCCCUAUUCAAUAAAACAAUUCAAUUAAUUAAAAAUAAGAAAAAAAAUAACUAGCAAAUAUAUAAGAAAGGGUAAAAUAUGUAUAUAAAUUAUGCUCAUUAAAUACCCCCAAACUUAGAUUUUGCUAGUCCUCGAGCAAAACUAAAACUUAAAACAAAAAUAAAAACAAUGAAACAAAAAGUAAAUCCUAACUAAACUACUUUUCCAAGUAAUCGCGAUUGCAUUUAACGUAUGCAACAAGCCUUUAAACCCCUAGACGGCCCUAGUGGACGAGUUAUAGUCUCGUGAUGGCUUUAGUGACGAUACCCACAAACAUCAUUUUUUUUAAAAAAUAAAUAAAUAAAAAGAACAACAAACUUUAAAUAAAACAUAAAAAUAGCCUCAAAGAUUGCAUAAAUUAUAUAGCUCAAAGAAAAUUUCAAAUAUUGGCAAAGUUCUAAUUUUAAUUCAUUAGUCAAUCCCAUCUCUCUUUUGAUAGUUUUGAAUGACCAAGUCUAUAUUGGCAAACUCUUGAUAGUUUUGAAUGACAAGUCUAUAUAUAACCCCUUGGCCAAACAAGAAACCCCGCAAAGCGUAGGAGAAAUUCAAGAAACUUAAAAUGGAUUCUAUAGUUGAUGGAGAAAGAGACCAAAGCUUUGCAUAUGCUAGUCAAUUGGUGAUGGGUACAGUGCUACCCAUGGCCAUUCAAGCGGUGUAUGAGCUGGGCAUUUUCGAGAUCCUAGACAAAGUUGGUCCUGGUGCAAAGCUCUGUGCUUCAGAUAUUGCAGCCCAAUUGCUCACCAAGAACAAAGACGCACCCAUGAUGCUGGAUCGGAUUCUCAGGCUUCUGGCUAGCUACAGCGUUGUUGAAUGCUCACUUGAUGCUUCUGGUGCCCGGAGACUAUAUAGUUUGAAUUCUGUCUCCAAAUACUAUGUGCCUAACAAAGAUGGCGUCUUACUAGGCCCCCUAUUACAAAUGAAUCAGGACAAGGUC
rnacentral:lncRNA from 1 species